rnacentral:rRNA from 1 species
AGCAGUCGCCGCGGUAAUACGAAGGGGGCUAGCGUUGUUCGGAAUUACUGGGCGUAAAGCGCACGUAGGCGGAUAUUUAAGUCAGGGGUGAAAUCCCAGAGCUCAACUCUGGAACUGCCUUUGAUACUGGGUAUCUUGAGUAUGGAAGAGGUGAGUGGAAUUCCGAGUGUAGAGGUGAAAUUCGUAGAUAUUCGGAGGAACACCAGUGGCGAAGGCGGCUCACUGGCCCAUUACUGACGCUGAGGUGCGAAAGCGUGGGGAGCAAACAGGAUUAGAUACCCCCGUAGUCCCUGUCUCUUAUAC